rnacentral:lncRNA from 10 species
AGGAGACUGCAUGGGCUGUGCUGAGCUCAGCCUCCUCCUCUUUCCGCUUCUGCCACCCUCCCACCACCCGCCCACCUGCGUCUGUGCUGGGUUUCCCUGGCAGGAGCUCUGUGCACCUGUCCAGGUGUGUCUGCUGGAAGCUCCCGCUGCUCCCUCUGGGCAGGCACAGGUGCACCUGCAGGCCCAGGGAAGAAUGCAGCACGCCCUCCCUCCCUGCUGCCCCCACCCUGGCUAAGGAGCUCAAGCUCUGGGAAGGCCAGGUCUUUGCUCCUCUGCCCAGACGCAGAUGCAGGUGCACCCUGGGUCCUCCUGUCCUCGCUGGGUGUUGAGCGGAGACAGGAGGUGCCUGCCCAGGUCCCUUGUCCUGAGAGUGCCUCCUCCCAGCCAGCCUCGCCCGGUGGGGUCCUGCAGGUUACGACUGAAGCGAGUGGUGCGGCUUCUGGAAGAUUCUGGAGGGUCCUGGGCUGCCCGGGAGGCUGCUUGAUGGGGGUGGUGGAAAAGGGGCCCCCACAGCUAAUACUCCUGUAAACCAAACGGGUGCAAUUCUGGGUGAUUUUCCGCAGAUUUUUCUGAACCACAUCCAGAAGUAAAGUCGUGGAGGAGAUAUCAAAACUUCUUGGGUAUCUAAACUUCCUCUUUCAGGGGAAGAAGCAGAGGUAGCUUUGACUGCCCCAGCUGGCCAGGGCGUCCCUUGAGCUCUGACCCCUGACCCUCUGGCUCCUCACCUGGGAGUCAGGUGAUGGCUUCACGCCCAGGACACAAUGGGCUGUGCAGUUUCCAGCUCUGACGGCAGCAGGGCGUUCUUUUCCUCUUGAAUCACCAGGUUUCGGGUCAGCAGUGUCGAGAGCCCGGCUCCAAGGUGCUUCUGAACGAUCAGCGGGAGUUUACCUGGCAACUUGGAUCCAGCAACCCUGGUCCCACAGGAGCUGGAGCGGACUUCCCGCCAGGUUGAGACCACAGGUGCAGGGGAAGGGGCGAGAGUGUUCCUCAGGCACCCACCUCCCAGCCACGCCCACUCCCAGCCUGCCUUAAGGAUGAGAUCUGUUUCCUCAGUGAACUUGCCCCAGUGCAUGGCGUGAGAAGCUAAAUGACACACAUCCUACAUUCACUGCUUCUGGAAUAACCAGAGAUCACGCGCCUGUCACCACCCCCAGAUGAAAACCAGGACGUCGCAGCCCUGGAGAAUCUGAGCCACUCUUGGGACACUUUCCUGGGGUGUGGGCAUCUCCUCGUGCUUUAUCUUCCCUUCCUUGAUGACAAGUGCUAAUUUGAUAACAGGAGAUGUGCAAAAUUACUUCUUUUUUAAAAUUCUCUGAAAGACUUCAAUGUAACUGGUAUUAUUUCUUCCUUCAGUGUUUGGAAAAGUUUACCAGUGAGUCUGUGUGGCCCUGAAGGUUUUAUGUGCAGGAGGGGGGCAAAGUUAAAUCAAGGAUUUAAUUUCUUCAUGAGACAUAGUACUAUUCAGAGCUUCUGUUUCUUUUUGUAUGGAUUUUGGAGAAUGUGUCUAUUUUAUCUCCAUUUACAAGAUCGUUAUCACAGAGUUAUCUGUGGUAUUUGUAUAUCCAUCAGUUUCCUCGGACUGCUGUGAUCACCACACACUGUGGCUUCACAGAUCUGCCUUCUCAGUGGUGGAGAAAGGAAAUCUGAAGUCCAGGUGUGGGCAGGGCUGCACGCCCUCCGGAGGCUCUAAAAGAGGCUCCUUCCUGCCCCUUCCAACUUCUGCGGCUCCAGGCAUCCCUGGGUCUGUGGCCCCAUCGCCUCAGCCUCUGCCUCCAUCUCUGUGGCCCUUGCCUUUUGCCUCUCCUCUGUGGCCUCAAAGCUGUCCAUAUAAGGACAUCAGUCGGCCAGGCGUGGUGGCUCACGCCUGUAAUCCCAGCACUUUGGGAGGCCAAGGCAGGUGGAUCACGAAGUCAAGAGAUCGAGACUAUCCUGGUCAACACAGUGAAACCCCG